UCGAGGAUCUUUUGCAAUGCCCGAAAGGGUGACAAUGCGACGCCGCGUGCGCGAUGAAGGUUUUCGGAUUGUAAAGCGCUGUCGACCGGGAUGAAUCUCGGGAGGCUUAAUAAGCCUUCCGGGUGACAGUACUGGUAGAGGAAGCCACGGCUAACUCCGUGCCAGCAGCCGCGGUAAUACGGAGGUGGCAAGCGUUACUCGGAUUGAUUGGGUGUAAAGGGCAUGUAGGUGGUGGAUUAAGUCGAACGUGAAAUCCCUUGGCUUAACCAAGGAAUUGCGUUCGAUACUGAUCUGCUUGAGCGAUGGAGAGGAAAGGGGAAUUCCCGGUGUAACAGUGAAAUGUGUAGAUAUCGGGAGGAACACCAGUGGCGAAGGCGCCUUUCUGGACAUUUGCUGACAC
rnacentral:rRNA from 1 species